rnacentral:rRNA from 1 species
AACAGGAUUAGAUACCCUGGUAGUCCACGCCGUAAACGAUGUCGACUUGGAGGUUGUUCCCUUGAGGAGUGGCUUCCGGAGCUAACGCGUUAAGUCGACCGCCUGGGGAGUACGGCCGCAAGGUUAAAACUCAAAUGAAUUGACGGGGGCCCGCACAAGCGGUGGAGCAUGUGGUUUAAUUCGAUGCAACGCGAAGAACCUUACCUACUCUUGACAUCCAGCGAACUUUCCAGAGAUGGAUUGGUGCCUUCGGGAACGCUGAGACAGGUGCUGCAUGGCUGUCGUCAGCUCGUGUUGUGAAAUGUUGGGUUAAGUCCCGCAACGAGCGCAACCCUUAUCCUUUGUUGCCAGCGAUUCGGUCGGGAACUCAAAGGAGACUGCCGGUGAUAAACCGGAGGAAGGUGGGGAUGACGUCAAGUCAUCAUGGCCCUUACGAGUAGGGCUACACACGUGCUACAAUGGCGCAUACAAAGAGAAGCGACCUCGCGGGAGCAAGCGGACCUCACAAAGUGCGUCGUAGUCCGGAUCGGAGUCUGCAACUCGACUCCGUGAAGUCGGAAUCGCUAGUAAUCGUGGAUCAGAAUGCCACGGUGAAUACGUUCCCGGGCCUUGUACACACCGCCCGUCACACCAUGGGAGUGGGUUGCAAAAGAAGUAGGUAGCUUAACCUCCGGGAGGGCGCUUACCACUUUGUGAUUCAUGACUGGGGUGAAGUCGUAACAAGGUAACC